CAGGUUUUGUUCUUUUUUCCCCUGAUAGUGACAGGCUAAACCACAGUGGCUGAAAAACCUGGAUCUGGUUGUAGACAGAGUUGUGGAUACCCAUUUUCACUUCUCUCUCCACUUUCUGAGUGCAAGUAUUUGAGAGUUUGCAAAUGCUCCUUUUCCUUCCUAAAUAAACCACGUUACCCCAACUGGUAAAUAUGUGAAUUCACCCCCAUAAAUAUACUCAACAAGAGAUGAUGACAUUUCUCCCAUGAUGAUCUGCACAUUGAGAACAAAGAGCAGGGAGACACUUCCCAGGAUUGCUGUACAAACCUUCCCUUGCCUUCCCACUGCGGGCCCUUUGUCAGAGCAGGGCAUCCUCCAGCUCCAAUGCAGCACCCAGGGCAUCCUCCAGCUCCAGACAAGCAACCAGGAGCACCCAGGGCAUCCCCCAGCUCCAGACAAGCAACCAGGACAUCCUCCAGCUCCAAUGCAGCACCCAGGGCAUCCCCCAGCUCCAGACAAGCAACCAGGACAUCCUCCAGCUCCAAUGCAGCACCCAGGGCAUCCCCCAGCUCCAGACAAGCAACCAGGACAUCCUCCAGCUCCAAUGCAGCACCCAGGGCAUCCCCCAGCUCCAGACAAGCAACCAGGACAUCCUCCAGCUCCAAUGCAGCACCCAGGGCAUCCUCCAGCUCCAGACAAGCAACCAGGACAUCCUCCAGCUCCAAUGCAGCACCCAGGGCAUCCCCCAGCUCCAGACAAGCAACCAGGACAUCCUCCAGCUCCAAUGCAGCACCCAGGGCAUCCCCCAGCUCCAGACAAGCAACCAGGACAUCCUCCAGCUCCAAUGCAGCACCCAGGGCAUCCCCCAGCUCCAGACAAGCAACCAGGACAUCCUCCAGCUCCAAUGCAGCACCCAGGGCAUCCUCCAGCUCCAACACAGCACCCAGAGCAUCCUCCAGCUCCAACACAGCACCCAGGGCAUCCCCCAGCUCCAACCCAAGCACACAUCCUGUUCUGGGAUCUCACAUACUUUAUUCUUCACUUUUCUGUUCAGUUUCUUGUUGCUCUUAUUCCAUUAACACAAGCUAUGUCUCAGUGCAGCAUACUGUGUGUGUCUGACACCGUAAAAAGCAACCAAAAUCUCACUUUAAGACAUUACACACACACAUUGUUUGUAUAACCCAUUAAAUAAUGAAACUGUGGCUG
rnacentral:lncRNA from 12 species